rnacentral:rRNA from 1 species
CACUCCUGCGGGAGGCAGCAGUGGGGAAUAUUGCACAAUGGGCGCAAGCCUGAUGCAGCCAUGCCGCGUGUAUGAAGAAGGCCUUCGGGUUGUAAAGUACUUUCAGCGGGGAGGAAGGCGAUAAGGUUAAUAACCUUGUUGAUUGACGUUACCCGCAGAAGAAGCACCGGCUAACUCCGUGCCAGCAGCCGCGGUAAUACGGAGGGUGCAAGCGUUAAUCGGAAUUACUGGGCGUAAAGCGCACGCAGGCGGUCUGUCAAGUCGGAUGUGAAAUCCCCGGGCUCAACCUGGGAACUGCAUUCGAAACUGGCAGGCUAGAGUCUUGUAGAGGGGGGUAGAAUUCCAGGUGUAGCGGUGAAAUGCGUAGAGAUCUGGAGGAAUACCGGUGGCGAAGGCGGCCCCCUGGACAAAGACUGACGCUCAGGUGCGAAAGCGUGGGGAGCAAACAGGAUUAGAUACCCCGGUAGUCCCAUGA